AUACUUGGUUUUGCUGCCUAUCAACCUGAAGGCAAAUACUCCUGGGAAUAACGGGUCAGAAGAGUGAACUAGUCAGGUCAGUAUUCCUCAGCAUGGUUCUAAUUGAUCCAACCAGUUCUUGCUUCCUAGCAUUCUAGUUUUUGAUCCCCUAAUCACAGAGCAAUAGGUUGGAAAACUUCCUCCAUAAAAUCAGAGCUGUGUAGAAUCUUUUUAUUUGGUGUGUGGUUCAUUCGGUGGGAUCAAAUUCUUACAUAGCCUCCAUCUUGUUUGUUUCUACCUGUGCCUACAGAAGGCCAUCUUCUACGAGGCACAGAGUGCUUUUACUUGCUCUCUCCGUUGUGUCCCAGCCUGUGCCCUCUUGGGCUUUGUAGAAGAGAGGUAGAUUGACAGCAGGUUGUAAAUGAUUCAUUCUCCAAAUUAGAUGGGUUGGGGGAGUGGGUAGGAGGGAGAAAACUGUCAGGUCCGAUGCACUUCUGUGAGGCUGUGCUCCCUACCUACUGUCCUUACCAUCUCUGGCCACAACUGGCCAGCUCAGGCCAGAGUCAAGGGCCAGAGCAAUCCAUCGGAAUCACUCUUUAUCUGAGUUGAUGGUAGCUGCAUUAAUGGUCAUGAGAGGGAAGUUGAUGAGCUGUCAACAGUAAAAGCAUUCCAGACCCAACUGUCUUCUCUGUUAGACAAGGUAUUCCCCAUCUUCCCAUUUCAAAACAGUUGUGGAGAGACUGAGCUGCCCCCCGGAUGAGAAAGUUUAGGGUAAACUUUAUAGUAUUAGAGUUCUUAUUCCUGUGUUCCUCUGUAUGAGUAAAUGACCUUAGCGAGGUGACGGUAAAAUAGAGACUGCCUUCCAGUAGUCUGUCCUUGCCAUACUGGUCCCUUGGGGGUUGGAGAUGCCAGUUUGUCCUUAAUAAAACUGCAGAUCUCAUUAGCCAUGGUGAAAUUACUUUUUGUAGCCAGAAUCGAUAAAUCUUUAUCUCCUGGACAGUGAUAGAGCUACCUUUUACAUCAGUUUUUUCUCUUCCUUGUGGUUUUUGCUUUUGAAUGGCUAUAUCUUGACCAGUAGCUAUUUCCUGCUAUCACUGGUUCACUCUUACUUCAGGUACUAGUAUGUGGCUGCAGACAUGACUGAAAAGAGGCUUUAUGGGUCAGUGGGAAGAGCAAAGGUUUGAAGGUCUUGAGAUGGGUUCCAGGGAGAGGAGGGGAAGAAAAAUAUAGUUUAAGAUGCUAUGACCAGAGCGUGAGGGACGCCACGAAUUCCGUUUGGAGGCAUCUUUCAGCUCGCCGAGUAGACCCCAUGAGCAAAGCUCACCUCCCAAGUUGAAAACAUUUAUGGACAAGAAAUUGUCAUUGAAAUUAAAUGGUGGCAGACAUGUCCAAGGAAUAUUGUGGGGGUUCGAUCUGUUUAUGAAUCUUGUGAUAGAUGAAUGUGUGGAGAUGGCAACUAGUGGGCAACAGAACAAUAUUGGAAUGGUGGUAAUACGAGGACAUAGUGUCAUCAUGUUAGAAGCCUUGGAGCGAGUGUAAACAAUGGGUGUGUUCAUCAGAAGAAAUCAGCUGCUUCCACAUGUCCCCUUUACUACAAUAUAAAAAUCAGGUCGUGUGCAUUUUCAUAUUGAACUUUUUUGUUAAAUAAACUUUUAUAAUGGU